GCCUUGGUGGUGGAAUGGUAGACACAGUUGAUUCAAAAUCAACCACCUUUUUGGUGUGGAGGUUCAAGUCCUCUUCAAGGCA
rnacentral:tRNA from 1 species